rnacentral:rRNA from 1 species
GACGAACGCUGGCGGCGUGCCUAAUACAUGCAAGUCGAGCGAUGAACCCGGAGCUUGCUCCGGUGGAUUAGUGGCGAACGGGUGAGUAACACGUGAGUAACCUGCCCUUGACUCUGGGAUAACUGCGGGAAACUGUAGCUAAUACCGGAUACGACCCUCGGCGGCAUCGCCAGGGGGUGGAAAGAAUUUCGGUCAAGGAUGGACUCGCGGCCUAUCAGCUAGUUGGUGAGGUAACGGCUCACCAAGGCGACGACGGGUAGCCGGCCUGAGAGGGUAACCGGCCACGCUGGGACUGAGACACGGCCCAGACUCCUACGGGAGGCAGCAGUGGGUAAUAUUGCACAAUGGGCGCAAGCCUGAUGCAGCAACGCCGCGUGAGGGAUGACGGCCUUCGGGUUGUAAACCUCUUUUAGUAGGGAAGAAGCGAAAGUGACGGUACCUGCAGAAAAAGCACCGGCUAACUACGUGUCAGCAGCCGCAGUAA